CUAGUACGACGAACGCCAUCAAGAUAGAGCUUUUAUUGCGAUUCAUCUGUCGGCUGCCGGUAGUUUGCUCUAUUAUCUUAAUUAUCUACAAAAAGCACUUCGAUCCGGAGUGAUAGUGAUAGUCGGCGGGAUUCACCAUCGCUGUACGUCGAUUCAGUGGCACUUCUGGUGAUUUUCACGGCGCAUCAAUAGCUUCCGCAUUUCCUCUCGUCGAUCCUUCUUGGCCAGUUCCGGUCCAGGUAGUACCCAAAUCUCGACGUCAACUGACGGCUUGCGUGGUUGCCAAAGGGUAAGACCGCGAGUAGCGAAACAUUACUCUUAUCCCCGGUCGGCAAAGGCUGAACAA